AGUGAACGCUGGCGGUAGGCCUAACACAUGCCAGUCGAACGGCAGCACAGUAAGAGCUUGCUCUUACGGGUGGCGAGUGGCGGACGGGUGAGGAAUACAUCGGAAUCUACUUUUUCGUGGGGGAUAACGUAGGGAAACUUACGCUAAUACCGCAUACGACCUACGGGUGAAAGCAGGGGAUCUUCGGACCUUGCGCGAUUGAAUGAGCCGAUGUCGGAUUAGCUAGUUGGCGGGGUAAAGGCCCACCAAGGCGACGAUCCGUAGCUGGUCUGAGAGGAUGAUCAGCCACAAUGGAACUGAGACACGGUCCAGAAUCCUACGGGAGGCAGCAGUGGGGAAUAUUGGACAAUGGGCGCAAGCCUGAUCCAGCCAUACCGCGUGGGUGAAGAAGGCCUUCGGGUUGUAAAGCCCUUUUGUUGGGAAAGAAAAGCAGCAGGUUAAUACCCCGCUGUUCUGACGGUACCCAAAGAAUAAGCACCGGCUAACUUCGUG
rnacentral:rRNA from 1 species